rnacentral:tRNA from 1 species
GGGAAUAUGGCUCGGUGGUAGAGUGCUUGCCUAACAUGCAUGAAGCCCUGGGUUCGAUUCCUCAGUACCA